UGACAGCAUUGUGUUUUUGUUUUUUUCACUUUCACCUAUGUUUUCCUUCACCUUCCACUUAAGUUGCGAUAUUAGUAAACGCAAUGUUCGACCAAAAAUAAAUAUGUAUUACUUUCGUCGCUUGUCGGCGAUCCAAGUCCACUGCGUGGAGAAGCUUCCAAGGAAUUGUGUAAAGCAGAAAAACUGGAUUUCAAAGCUGGAUUUUCAAACGCGGAGACCGAUUCGUUCCUAUAUUGAAUUUACAUCGCCUCAUGAUUUUCUCGUAUCCACCGGUGACCUGAAUCGCAUGAACGCUCUGCUAACUGGCACUGCUCGUCCAACGUCUGCAUCAGCUUAUGGCAUCGGAAGGGAACGAAUAACUAGGAGGAUUCAACAAAGAUCUAUGCAUUACGGCUGCCUCGACGGCGGCUUUGCGUCAAGAAACUACAACCGCAGAACAUACUGCCGAUACUACCUGGUCAAUUUUUCAGCCAAAUUCGCAUUGGUCAUCGAGACGAGCUGCUUUUACGGAUUCCAGAUUGCAAUGGCAUAGUGAGAUGUUUUCAUUAAUACCUAUUCGUGAGAAAGGCUUCAAAAUUCAUCAACAUCUCCACCACCACCUCGAGCAGAAAAACAGAAGAAUCUCGGAGUUUUGACGGACUUGCAGAUCUUGCUGCAGGAAUAUCCUCAUAUCCUACAUUGACGGAAGAACAGAAGCAGCAUCAAACAAAAUCCCUCCAGUUUAAAGGACUACUAUGGCGUUGUCAUCAACGUCCGCAACCAUUUGAGGUCAUGUUAGAGGUGCCAGAACCUGUCGAAACAAUACCAUCUUGACAAGAGAACAGCAAAACAAAAUAAAAAUAUUUUAUUGUCUUGAAAUCCGCGUCGGCAAGUCCCUCUGUGUGUUGGCGAAUAGACCCUGUCGCAGAGAGGUCAAUUUGGGCAUCAUCAUUCUUGAUACCAGUCGUGCAGAGGGAAGCAGGCGCGAAGUCGACCCUUCCCACCUUCCGAGGACAUAGGGCGUGGUAAGGCCACCUGGAAAGCCGGCAAUGCGCUGGCACGAUACCAUGGUGUUUUUCUAAAAAAAAGUGAGAAGCUGCCGAACUAUUGCUUGCCUGUCCCAUGAAAUGAUUCCGUCACCGAUUACUACAGAGUGUCAGCUUACCCGAUUCCACCCACACUAGCUCACUGCCCACCCACUAGAACUGCUGGUUUGCAUCUAUAUAAAAUAAAUAACAUGAAGCGCUCGUAGGUACUCUGAAUCCUAAGAUCUCGAGAAAUUCUAAGUGUGAUGCUAGAAUGCUCUGUGGAAGCAGCCCUGGGACAAGUGUAGAAUGUUUGAUCUGCUGCUGGUGUUCCUAAGACAGAUGACAAAAGCUAAAUUCUUCUGACGACAUUUUCUGAAACAAGACAUUGAUCCUGAGAUCGUAAAAGUUUUUCCUUGGAAUUCAUAAACUGCAAUCGAAAAUGCAAUAAUUGCUUCACACGGGACAUGCGAAAAAGUUUGGUGCCGAUUAUGCACACUUCAGCUAUCGAUCGAAUGUUUCACUUGAAAGAAGUAGAAAACGCCCAACGCAUUCUUCGCUUUCAUGAGGGAAUGCUUGUCCUGAAGAGUAUGCUGUCCGUCUGGUGGAUAUUAUAGAUGCAGUGCGUUAUUGUGACCAACCUCAAAGUCUAGCUCAUUCGAUUAACCAGUGGGAUCCUGAAUGGACCUAACAACAUGCAACCUAACAAAGACGGUGGCAAUCCACAUCUGACUGGCCUAAAUUCUAGCAAACCAUUGCAAAGCUAUCUUAAUCAGGCUGUCCAUGGGGCCCCGGUACAUUCGAUCAGGGAGGUCCAAAUAGUGGAGUGGACUGUGAUAGUGCUGGCUUUUCGAGUAGUGGUGUAGAUGGUCAGUACUCAUCAUUGAACCCAGGAGCUGCGUACCUAAUAAAAUAAAAAGGUUUGCGUUCAAGUUAAUAAUUAUGAUUAUAUUUGAUAGUGUUUCAAAUUAUUGAUACAUUUAUAGGCUAUAUCUGAAGCGUUGUAAAUUUAUUAAAUUUUUGUUUUUGCUUUUGUCCGGGACAAUGCCUUUAUAUCGGCUACAGUUUAACCCUUUAUAAGGCAGACGAAUCUAAACAAUAAAUUAACGAAAACAGCAAUAGGACACAAUGUUGACAUGGUAUUAAACUCAAAUGUAUGCUUGUUAUACAUUAAACAAUUCAGAAACAUUGAAAAAUGGGUGGCAAUAUAGUUGCCAUUGCCCGUCAAGCGGGACAACAUUGGUGGCAAUAUAGUUGCCACUGCCCGGCAAGCGGGAAAACAGGCAACAACAAAAAUAAAUAAAAGAUUUUUAAAAAUUAGAUUUUACGUAAAACAAGUCAAAUCAAGGCACGUUACAUUUUUUGGCGAAGAGUCCUAGUCGGAAAACGCAUUAUAAAUGAAAACUUUUUUUUUGCGCUUUCGUUCCCAAGGGGGACCGUCGAUUUCGUCAAAAAUCCAAAAACCAAAUAUACAGAAAGGCAAAGCUUUUUUCACGCUAACCGUGCAAUAAUCUAACACAGGAGAUUCAAAAUAAUUAAUAAUAACGGGAAAAAAUAUA